GGAUGGAUUGGAUAGAUUGCCACUUUAUUGAUCCCCGGAGGGAAAUUCGCCUACUUUUUUCUUUCUAAGAGCAACGAAGCAGAAGGAUAGGUGUUUUUUUCUUUUGAAAUGUGUUGUUUUCUUAUCAACUGUCAGAAGCUAGUAGUGGUCGACCAGUCUGUCAACUAGCACACGUGACAAGAGUUGCUUGAAAAACUAUACAGUACGUUACAGUAAAUAGUUGUUUUUCCAGAGGUAUUUUUUAUUUGAUCAGUUUACAAUUGUAGCUAAAGUAAUCAAAAGCUAUGUUGCCCAUUCUCAUAGUAGGUGAGAUUGCCUGCCAAACUUAAAAAUAAGAAAGCAGACAUAUUCCUGCUCAUAACACAAGACUGUGUUUUUGACUU